UGGGGAAUUUUGGACAAUGGGGGAAACCCUGAUCCAGCCAUCCCGCGUGUGCGAUGAAGGCCUUCGGGUUGUAAAGCACUUUUGGCAGGAAAGAAACGUCGCGGGUUAAUACCCCGCGAAACUGACGGUACCUGCAGAAUAAGCACCGGCUAACUACGUGCCAGCAGCCGCGGUAAUACGUAGGGUGCAAGCGUUAAUCGGAAUUACUGGGCGUAAAGCGUGCGCAGGCGGUUCGGAAAGAAAGAUGUGAAAUCCCAGAGCUUAACUUUGGAACUGCAUUUUUAACUACCGGGCUAGAGUGUGUCAGAGGGAGGUGGAAUUCCGCGUGUAGCAGUGAAAUGCGUAGAUAUGCGGAGGAACACCGAUGGCGAAGGCAGCCUCCUGGGAUAACACUGACGCUCAUGCACGAAAGCGUGGGGAGCAAACAGG
rnacentral:rRNA from 1 species